rnacentral:misc_RNA from 1 species
GAUGAAGAACGUAGCGAAAUGCGAUACGUAAUGUGAAUUGCAGAAUUCAGUGAAUCAUCGAAUCUUUGAACGCACAUUGCGCCCGCUGGUAUUCCGGCGGGCAUGCCUGUUCGAGCGUCAUUUCAACCCUCAAGCCCCCGGGUUUGGUGUUGGGGGUCGGCUCUGCCCUUCUGGGCGGUGCCGCCCCCGAAAUACAUUGGCGGUCUCGCUGCAGCCUCCAUUGCGUAGUAGCUAACACCUCGCAACUGGAACGCGGCGCGGCCAUGCCGUAAAACCCCAACUUCUGAAUGUUGACCUCGGAUCAGGUAGGAAUACCCGCUGAACUUAAGCAUAUCAAUAAGCGGAGGA